rnacentral:rRNA from 1 species
GGGUUGUGAGGUUAAGCGACUAAGCGUACACGGUGGAUGCCCUGGCAGUCAGAGGCGAUGAAGGACGUGCUAAUCUGCGAUAAGCGUCGGUAAGGUGAUAUGAACCGUUAUAACCGGCGAUUUCCGAAUGGGGAAACCCAGUGUGUUUCGACACACUAUCAUUAACUGAAUCCAUAGGUUAAUGAGGCGAACCGGGGGAACUGAAACAUCUAAGUACCCCGAGGAAAAGAAAUCAACCGAGAUUCCCCCAGUAGCGGCGAGCGAACGGGGAGCAGCCCAGAGCCUGAAUCAGUGUGUGUGUUAGUGGAAGCGUCUGGAAAGGCGCGCGAUACAGGGUGACAGCCCCGUACACAAAAAUGCACAUGCUGUGAGCUCGAUGAGUAGGGCGGGACACGUGGUAUCCUGUCUGAAUAUGGGGGGACCAUCCUCCAAGGCUAAAUACUCCUGACUGACCGAUAGUGAACCAGUACCGUGAGGGAAAGGCGAAAAGAACCCCGGCGAGGGGAGUGAAAAAGAACCUGAAACCGUGUACGUACAAGCAGUGGGAGCACGCUUAGGCGUGUGACUGCGUACCUUUUGUAUAAUGGGUCAGCGACUUAUAUUCUGUAGCAAGGUUAACCGAAUAGGGGAGCCGAAGGGAAACCGAGUCUUAACUGGGCGUUAAGUUGCAGGGUAUAGACCCGAAACCCGGUGAUCUAGCCAUGGGCAGGUUGAAGGUUGGGUAACACUAACUGGAGGACCGAACCGACUAAUGUUGAAAAAUUAGCGGAUGACUUGUGGCUGGGGGUGAAAGGCCAAUCAAACCGGGAGAUAGCUGGUUCUCCCCGAAAGCUAUUUAGGUAGCGCCUCGUGAAUUCAUCUCCGGGGGUAGAGCACUGUUUCGGCAAGGGGGUCAUCCCGACUUACCAACCCGAUGCAAACUGCGAAUACCGGAGAAUGUUAUCACGGGAGACACACGGCGGGUGCUAACGUCCGUCGUGAAGAGGGAAACAACCCAGACCGCCAGCUAAGGUCCCAAAGUCAUGGUUAAGUGGGAAACGAUGUGGGAAGGCCCAGACAGCCAGGAUGUUGGCUUAGAAGCAGCCAUCAUUUAAAGAAAGCGUAAUAGCUCACUGGUCGAGUCGGCCUGCGCGGAAGAUGUAACGGGGCUAAACCAUGCACCGAAGCUGCGGCAGCGACGCUUAUGCGUUGUUGGGUAGGGGAGCGUUCUGUAAGCCUGUGAAGGUGUGCUGUGAGGCAUGCUGGAGGUAUCAGAAGUGCGAAUGCUGACAUAAGUAACGAUAAAGCGGGUGAAAAGCCCGCUCGCCGGAAGACCAAGGGUUCCUGUCCAACGUUAAUCGGGGCAGGGUGAGUCGACCCUAAGGCGAGGCCGAAAGGCGUAGUCGAUGGGAAACAGGUUAAUAUUCCUGUACUUGGUGUUACUGCGAAGGGGGGACGGAGAAGGCUAUGUUGGCCGGGCGACGGUUGUCCCGGUUUAAGCGUGUAGGCUGGUUUUCCAGGCAAAUCCGGAAAAUCAAGGCUGAGGCGUGAUGACGAGGCACUACGGUGCUGAAGCAACAAAUGCCCUGCUUCCAGGAAAAGCCUCUAAGCAUCAGGUAACAUCAAAUCGUACCCCAAACCGACACAGGUGGUCAGGUAGAGAAUACCAAGGCGCUUGAGAGAACUCGGGUGAAGGAACUAGGCAAAAUGGUGCCGUAACUUCGGGAGAAGGCACGCUGAUAUGUAGGUGAAGCGACUUGCUCGUGGAGCUGAAAUCAGUCGAAGAUACCAGCUGGCUGCAACUGUUUAUUAAAAACACAGCACUGUGCAAACACGAAAGUGGACGUAUACGGUGUGACGCCUGCCCGGUGCCGGAAGGUUAAUUGAUGGGGUUAGCCGCAAGGCGAAGCUCUUGAUCGAAGCCCCGGUAAACGGCGGCCGUAACUAUAACGGUCCUAAGGUAGCGAAAUUCCUUGUCGGGUAAGUUCCGACCUGCACGAAUGGCGUAAUGAUGGCCAGGCUGUCUCCACCCGAGACUCAGUGAAAUUGAACUCGCUGUGAAGAUGCAGUGUACCCGCGGCAAGACGGAAAGACCCCGUGAACCUUUACUAUAGCUUGACACUGAACAUUGAGCCUUGAUGUGUAGGAUAGGUGGGAGGCUUUGAAGUGUGGACGCCAGUCUGCAUGGAGCCGACCUUGAAAUACCACCCUUUAAUGUUUGAUGUUCUAACGUUGGCCCCUGAUCGGGGUUGCGGACAGUGUCUGGUGGGUAGUUUGACUGGGGCGGUCUCCUCCUAAAGAGUAACGGAGGAGCACGAAGGUUGGCUAAUCCUGGUCGGACAUCAGGAGGUUAGUGCAAUGGCAUAAGCCAGCUUGACUGCGAGCGUGACGGCGCGAGCAGGUGCGAAAGCAGGUCAUAGUGAUCCGGUGGUUCUGAAUGGAAGGGCCAUCGCUCAACGGAUAAAAGGUACUCCGGGGAUAACAGGCUGAUACCGCCCAAGAGUUCAUAUCGACGGCGGUGUUUGGCACCUCGAUGUCGGCUCAUCACAUCCUGGGGCUGAAGUAGGUCCCAAGGGUAUGGCUGUUCGCCAUUUAAAGUGGUACGCGAGCUGGGUUUAGAACGUCGUGAGACAGUUCGGUCCCUAUCUGCCGUGGGCGCUGGAGAACUGAGGGGCUGCUCCUAGUACGAGAGGACCGGAGUGGACGCAUCACUGGUGUUCGGGUUGUCAUGCCAAUGGCACUGCCCGGUAGCUAAAUGCGGAAGAGAUAAGUGCUGAAAGCAUCUAAGCACGAAACUUGCCCCGAGAUGAGUUCUCCCUGACUCCUUGAGAGUCCUGAAGGAACGUUGAAGACGACGACGUUGAUAGGCCGGGUGUGUAAGCGCAGCGAUGCGUUGAGCUAACCGGUACUAAUGAACCGUGAGGCUUAACCUUACAACGCCGAAGCUGUU